rnacentral:rRNA from 1 species
CUACGGAGGGUCCAAGCGUUAUCCGGAAUCAUUGGGUUUAAAGGGUCCGCAGGCGGUCAAUUAAGUCAGAGGUGAAAGCCCAUCGCUCAACGAUGGAACUGCCUUUGAUACUGGUUGACUUGAGUUAUACGGAAGUAGAUAGAAUAAGUAGUGUAGCGGUGAAAUGCAUAGAUAUUACUUAGAAUACCGAUUGCGAAGGCAGUCUACUACGUAUAUACUGACGCUGAGGGACGAAAGCGUGGGGAGCGAACAGGAUUAGAAACCCGAGUAGUCC